rnacentral:rRNA from 1 species
CCAAUAGCGUAUAUUAAAGUUGUUGCAGUUAAAAAGCUCGUAGUUGAAUUUCGGGAUCAAUAUGCUGGUCGUGCCUUUGGUACGUACUGGUAUUAUUGGUUUCUCCUUUCUGAUGAAUCACGAUGUCAUUAAUUUGGUGUCAUGGGGAAUUAGGACUGUUACUUUGAAAAAAUUAGAGUGUUUAAAGCAGGCUUACGCUUGAAUACAUUAGCAUGGAAUAAUGAAAUAGGACGUUUAAUUCUAUUUUGUUGGUUUCUAGGAUUGACGUAAUGAUUAAUAGGGAUAGUUGGGGGCAUUAGUAUUCAAUUGUCAGAGGUGAAAUUCUUGGAUUUAUUGAAGACUAACUACUGCGAAAGCAUUUGCCAAGGAUGUUUUCAUUAAUCAAGAACGAAAGUUAGGGGAUCGAAGACGAUCAGAUACCGUCGUAGUCUUAACCAUAAACUAUGCCGACUAGGGAUCGGAUGAUGUUAAUUUUUUAAUGACUCAUUCGGCGCCUUACG